UUUUGUUUUGAGUUCAUGUACAUAGUAUACUUAACUCGCCAGUGCGAGUAGCUCUGUAUUUUUGGUUAUUGGACUAUGUAUAUGGAACUCCGUUUGUUUAGCUUAUGUUUACUCUAGCAGCUCUAUACUACUGUUUGUAGUAUUGUACGGUUUACAGGUACAGCUGUCGCUUCGUAUACAGGGAAAAUUUCUUUGUAUACGGCGGAUUUGUCGGCGUGCCCGGGGAAUGUGUAAUCCGGAGCGUGACAAUAUAUAUAUAUAUAUAUAUAUAUAUAUNUUCCAGCCUAGUUCUAUAUAUAUUUUAUAUUUUUAUUAUACAAUACAUAUAGUAUUAUAUACAUACUAUGAUAUAUAUUAUAUGAAUUGGGCUGGAAUACUAUUAAUAAUAUUUGGACUAUUUUGCUAUCGAAUUUUUAACCCUUGGAUAAAAAUUGUAGGGUUAUGAUUAGGUCCCUAUUAGUGAUGGUCCGCUUUAGGUUUGAGUGGGUGGUUAGUUGGAUAGUAUGAUUUAAAGGGUGAAAUUGAUUAAAAUGUAGAACUAACGGUUAAAAAAUCGAUAGCAAAAGAGUCUAAAUACUAUUAAUAGUAUUUUAGCUCAACUCUAUAUUAUAUUAUAUGUUUAUCAAUUUAUUAUAUAAUAUUAUUUUGAUAUAUUUAAUUUAUAAAUAUAGAUGAUAAUAAUAAUAAAUAUAGUAUGAUAAUAAUUAUAUAUCAAUAAUAUGUAAUAUAUACAAUAAGAGGAAAUAUAUAAAAUAUUUUUCUGUUUAUAACAUUUUUGGUUUUUUUUUUCUUUCAACCAAACAAUCAUAAUAGAAAACUAUUUUUUUUUCCCUACGAACCAAACACAUGAAAGCGUAAAAUUUAUUUUCCUCCGAAAAUAUUUUGUCACCGAAAUUUUUUUUCAUAGUUUUACGUGAAACCAAGCACACUCUAAGUUGCACCUUAUUGGAAAUCACACAGGGUUUAGUGUUAACAUCGGAACGAUGAAAAAUGGAUCUAGAAAAAUUACCUAAUGCAGGAAGAGAAAAGAAAAAGAAAGAGCACACCAAAAUUUACGUGUUUCGUCCAACGGCCUACGUCCAUGGGCGAAGACGGAGAAAAUACUU
rnacentral:lncRNA from 1 species